AACGAACGCUGGCGGCGUGCCUAACACAUGCAAGUCGAACGGGAUUCGGAGCUUGCUCCGAUGAGAGUGGCGCACGGGUGAGUAACGCGUAGAUAAUCUGCCUGAUGAUCUGGGAUAACAGUUCGAAAGGACUGCUAAUACCGGAUAAGCCCACGGAGACCUUGGUCUUUGCGGGAAAAGGGGGGGGACCUUCGGGCCUUCCGUCAUCAGAUGAGUCUGCGUACCAUUAGCUAGUUGGUAGGGUGAAGGCCUACCAAGGCGACGAUGGUUAGCGGGUCGAAGAGGAGGAUCAGCCACACUGGAACUGAGAGACGGUCCAGACUCGUACGGGAGGCAGCAGUGGGGAAUUUUGCGCAAUGGGGGAAACCUGACGCAGCAACGCCGCGUGAGUGACGAAGGCUCUUGGGUCGUAAAGCUCUGACAGAGGGAAAGAAGUGUAUGGUGGUUAAUACCCAUUGUACUUGACGGUACCCUCAAAGGAAGCACCGGCUAACUCCGUGCCAGCCGCCGCAGUAAUAC
rnacentral:rRNA from 1 species